GAGAGUUUGAUUAUGGCUCAGGACGAACGCUGGCGGCGUGCCUAAUACAUGCAAGUAGAACGCUGAAGGAGGAGCUUGCUCUUCUGGAUGAGUUGCGAACGGGUGAGUAACGCGUAGGUAACCUGCCUGGUAGCGGGGGAUAACUAUUGGAAACGAUAGCUAAUACCGCAUAAUAGUAGAUGUUGCAUGACAUUUGCUUAAAAGGUGCAAUUGCAUCACUACCAGAUGGACCUGCGUUGUAUUAGCUAGUUGGUGGGGUAACGGCUCACCAAGGCGACGAUACAUAGCCGACCUGAGAGGGUGAUCGGCCACACUGGGACUGAGACACGGCCCAGACUCCUACGGGAGGCAGCAGUAGGGAAUCUUCGGCAAUGGACGAAAGUCUGACCGAGCAACGCCGCGUGAGUGAAGAAGGUUUUCGGAUCGUAAAGCUCUGUUGUAAGAGAAGAACGAGUGUGAGAGUGGAAAGUUCACACUGUGACGGUAUCUUACCAGAAAGGGACGGCUAACUACGUGCCAGCAGCCGCGGUAAUACGUAGGUCCCGAGCGUUGUCCGGAUUUAUUGGGCGUAAAGCGAGCGCAGGCGGUUAGAUAAGUCUGAAGUUAAAGGCUGUGGCUUAACCAUAGUACGCUUUGGAAACUGUUUAACUUGAGUGCAAGAGGGGAGAGUGGAAUUCCAUGUGUAGCGGUGAAAUGCG
rnacentral:rRNA from 1 species